GCCGGAGUAGCUCAGCUGGUAGAGCAACUGCCUUGUAAGCAGUAGGUCGUGGGUUCGAGCCCCGCCUCCGGCU
rnacentral:tRNA from 1 species